ACUUGUGGGUGGAUUAGUGGCGAACGGGUGAGUAACACGUGAGUAACCUGCCCUUGACUCUGGGAUAAGCCUGGGAAACUGGGUCUAAUACCGGAUAUGACUCCUCAUCGCAUGGUGGGGGGUGGAAAGCUUUUUGUGGUUUUGGAUGGACUCGCGGCCUAUCAGCUUGUUGGUGAGGUAAUGGCUUACCAAGGCGACGACGGGUAGCCGGCCUGAGAGGGUGACCGGCCACACUGGGACUGAGACACGGCCCAGACUCCUACGGGAGGCAGCAGUGGGGAAUAUUGCACAAUGGGCGCAAGCCUGAUGCAGCGACGCCGCGUGAGGGAUGACGGCCUUCGGGUUGUAAACCUCUUUCAGUAGGGAAGAAGCCUUUCGGGGUGACGGUACCUGCAGAAGAAGCGCCGGCUAACUACGUGCCAGCAGCCGCGGUAAUACGUAGGGCGCAAGCGUUAUCCGGAAUUAUUGGGCGUAAAGAGCUCGUAGGCGGUUUGUCGCGUCUGCCGUGAAAGUCCGGGGCUCAACUCCGGAUCUGCGGUGGGUACGGGCAGACUAGAGUGAUGUAGGGGAGACUGGAAUUCCUGGUGUAGCGGUGAAAUGCGCAGAUAUCAGGAGGAACACCGAUGGCGAAGGCAGGUCUCUGGGCAUUAACUGACGCUGAGGAGCGAAAGCAUGGGGAGCGAACAGGAUUAGAUACCCUGGUAGUCCAUGCCGUAAACGUUGGGCACUAGGUGUGGGGGACAUUCCACGUUUUCCGCGCCGUAGCUAACGCAUUAAGUGCCCCGCCUGGGGAGUACGGCCGCAAGGCUAAAACUCAAAGGAAUUGACGGGGGCCCGCACAAGCGGCGGAGCAUGCGGAUUAAUUCGAUGCAACGCGAAGAACCUUACCAAGGCUUGACAUGAACCGGACCGCUGCAGAGAUGUGGUUUCCCCUUUGGGGCUGGUUUACAGGUGGUGCAUGGUUGUCGUCAGCUCGUGUCGUGAGAUGUUGGGUUAAGUCCCGCAACGAGCGCAACCCUCGUUCUAUGUUGCCAGCACGUGAUGGUGGGGACUCAUAGGAGACUGCCGGGGUCAACUCGGAGGAAGGUGGGGACGACGUCAAAUCAUCAUGCCCCUUAUGUCUUGGGCUUCACGCAUGCUACAAUGGCCGGUACAAAGGGUUGCGAUACUGUGAGGUGGAGCUAAUCCCAAAAGCCGGUCUCAGUUCGGAUUGGGGUCUGCAACUCGACCCCAUGAAGUCGGAGUCGCUAGUAAUCGCA
rnacentral:rRNA from 1 species